AAUGAAGUGCCUGAUUAAAGGGUUACCUUGAUAGGGUAAAUCAAGUAGGGUCCUCCUACCUUCAUUA
rnacentral:tRNA from 1 species